rnacentral:rRNA from 1 species
UACGUAGGGUGCAAGCGUUGUCCGGAAUUAUUGGGCGUAAAGAGCUCGUAGGCGGUCUGUCGCGUCUGCUGUGAAAACUCAGGGCUUAACCCUGAGCUUGCAGUGGGUACGGGCAGACUAGAGUGCGGUAGGGGAGACUGGAAUUCCUGGUGUAGCGGUGGAAUGCGCAGAUAUCAGGAGGAACACCGAUGGCGAAGGCAGGUCACUGGGCCGCAACUGACGCUGGAGGAGCGAAAGCCAUGGGGAGCGAACAGG